rnacentral:rRNA from 1 species
GGAUGAACGCUGGCGGCGUGCUUACCACAUGCAAGUCGAACGGGAAACCUUUUAUUGAAGCUUCGGCAGAUUUAGCUGGUUUCUAGUGGCGGACGGGUGAGUAACGCGUGGGUAACCUGCCUUAUACAGGGGGAUAACAGUCAGAAAUGGCUGCUAAUACCGCAUAAGCGCACAGAGCUGCAUGGCUCAGUGUGAAAAACUCCGGUGGUAUAAGAUGGACCCGCGUUGGAUUAGCUGGUUGGUGGGGUAACGGCCCACCAAGGCGACGAUCCAUAGCCGGGCUGAGAGGGUGAACGGCCACAUUGGGACUGAGACACGGCCCAGACUCCUACGGGAGGCAGCAGUGGGGAAUAUUGCACAAUGGGGGAAACCCUGAUGCAGCGACGCCGCGUGAAGGAAGAAGUAUCUCGGUAUGUAAACUUCUAUCAGCAGGGAAGAUAAUGACGGUACCUGACGAAGAAGCCCCGGCUAACUACGUG